rnacentral:rRNA from 1 species
GUAACAUAAGUGAGCCUGAGACGUCGGCAUGAACCCCUGGAAGAGUUAUUCUUUUCUUUUUUAACAACUACCACCCUGAAUUGGAUUAUCCAGAGCUAGGGUUAUAUGUUUGGCAGAGCAUCACACUCUAAGUGAUGUCAGGUGCGUUCAUGACGACCCUUGAAAAUCCAGGUGAGAGGAUUAUUCGCACGCCAGAUCGUACCAAUAACCGCAUCUGGUCUCCAAGGUUAGCAGCCUCUGGUCGAUAGAAUAAUGCAGAUAAGGGAAGUCGGCAAAUUAGAUCCGUAACUUCGGGAAAAGGAUUGGCUCUGAGGAUUGGGUUCGGGGGCCUUAUCAUGCAAGCUAAGGAAAUUAGAAAUUGUCUCGAAAGGGACGGAGGCUAGUUGACGAACGCUGAAUUGCUAAGGACGCUUCAUCGCUUUCCCCCGAACGUUAAACAAUUAACUCAGAACUGAAGCGGACAAGGGG